rnacentral:rRNA from 1 species
CCUACGGGACGCACCAGUGGGGAAUAUUGGACAAUGGGCGCAAGCCUGAUCCAGCCAUGCCGCGUGAGUGAAGAAGGCCUUAGGGUUGUAAAGCUCUUUCACCGGUGAAGAUGAUGACGGUAACCGGAGAAGAAGCCCCGGCUAACUUCGUGCCAGCAGCCGCGGUAAUACGAAGGGGGCUAGCGUUGUUCGGAAUUACUGGGCGUAAAGCGCGCGUAGGCGGAUAGAUAAGUCAGAGGUGAAAUCCCGGGGCUCAACCCCGGAAUUGCCUUUGAUACUGUUUAUCUUGAGUGCAGAAGAGGUAAGGGGAAUUCCGAGUGUAGAGGUGAAAUUCGUAGAUAUUCGGAGGAACACCAGUGGCGAAGGCGGCUUACUGGUCUGCAACUGACGCUGAGGCGCGAAAGCGUGGGGAGCAAACAGGAUUAGAUACCCGCGUAGUC